UCAUUGAUGUUUCUUGCUCUCUCCCUCUCUCUUCUUCUCUGAAAUCAAUAAAUACAUAUUUUUAAAAAAAUAUUCCCUCAUCUACUGAGGAUGAAAUACAGUUCCUUCCCAAAGGCAGAAUAUGUUUGUUAAAAUUUUCCAGAGUAAGGAGUUAGUAAAAAUCAGCCUUUUCUUACUUUUGCUUUAAAAAAGCAUUAUUAGUAGUAUCUCUAUGUACUUAUAGAUUUUCAUUUAAUAUUUUAUAAUAAAUUAGUCACAAUUUUUUUCACCCCUAACUGUGGCAGUUUAAACUUAAAACUUAAAUCUCUAAAAAUAAGCUCAAUAAAUGCUGGUGUAGCACUCCACACACUGGGGUCGUGAGAUCUACAAGAACAUUUUCCUUUUAAGAAGUCCCUAUUCAUAUUAGACCUUAGGGAACAUUGAAUUAGCACUUGUCGAAUAGAAUGAACUUGGAGACUCAUUACUCGGCAAAAUGCCAGAAAUUCUUGCUACAACAUUAUAUCAGAUGUCUUAAAAAGGUAAACACUGACUUUUCAACAUUUCUACCUCUGUCUGCCUACUUAAUUACUGACUUUUGGAGAAAAAAGAAAGAUCAUAAGUUAACACUAACAUUUCCUUAAUUAAAAUGAAAACUGUAGUGUUGAUUACAUAGCUCAAUCAUAAUUUAUACUGUAGUGUAAUAAUUCAACGUUCUUCUUUUCUUUUUGCUGGAUGUAACAAUCAAUCCUGACUAGCUAAAGGAAAAUAAACAUAGAUCCUGGGGUAGUUCAGAGAAAGGAAAGGUUGACCCGUCACGAGACACCUCUGAGGCCUCAGCAAUGGAGUCUUGGGGACCUGCUCCCCAGAGUGCUGGAGGGCCAGGCACCCCAGCUGCAACUCCUCCUGUCUGUCCACAGGCUGAGCAGGUUCCCUGAAGGAGCACCUGAUGGGCCUGGCUGGGGCCUGGGCUCACCCUGGAUUAGAUCAGAGAGGCAGGCUCAUGGAGCCCAGACAGGGGCCUAGAGGUCCCCUCCUGGACAUGGACUUGUCGGAAAUGGGCAGCCUCCACCCAGGAAACUUCAGAAGUCCUUUAAAGCGAACUGGAGGUGACUGUCAGGGCAUGAUGGUGUGUUGAGUGGAAUUUCAUUCUUAACACUAUCAUUCUGAUAGGAGUGAUAUUUCUGUGUUGUUAAAAUGAAAUGUCUUGGGUGUGAUUUUUUACUGGUUUAGGGAGAUGACAGCUAGGGUGCCAGUUUGAAAAACAAAGCUUGGGGAGAACAAACAUGUACCCUUGAGUAGGGGAUGUUUACAUAAAUGUCCAGACUACUAAUCCCAGACACUUGCUUAUUUCACACAUCAGUAAAUCUGCUAAGUCACAAAAGGGCCCUCUCUGCAUCAGGCGGCAGGGUGGUUAGGUAGGUCUGGAUGAUUGUGGCCAUCUUGAGAUGUCAACCUCGAAUCAGAAACAAGUGCUACAUCUAAGGAGAAAAUGGCAGGCAGAUUGCUUCGUGGCUAUUAGUCACACCUGCAACAGGGUUUUAUCUCCUGUCAGUUAGCACUUAGUUAUCAACACCAUCAAAGAAAGGUGAGUUUUUGCAGCUGGGCACACGUUUUGCUUCAUCUCAGUUUUGGAAUAAAUUUCUCUUUCAAAACAAGAGAUGAAUUCCAAUGCUAUACUUCCAUUAGCUGGCCGUGACACAAUUAGGAAAUAUUUUGGACUUCCAAUGUGAGCACUGGGAUGGGGAUUGUUCAGAGUCAUAAUGAGCUCACAUUCUUCACCCCGCAUUUCCUUAUCCAGGGGGCAGGACCAUGAGAUGAAAGCCUGGCUUUCCCCCUUGCCCUGUUACAAUACACAGAACAGCAACGCUCUGGUGUUCACCUGCUGCCCUAAUGAUGCUGACACAGUGCAGGAGUCCAAGCACCGAGACAUCCAGGAGAACCCAGACAUUCAGUGUCUACGGCUGAGGGUGAACAUCAGAGAAUGCCAAGGGGCCCCAGAAGAAGGUGAGAAGAUUCCUUCCGGGUAAAGGGUGAAGAUGCGGUACCAGCUGGUUCAUCCUGUCUUUCCUUAUAAUGUUCUCCACCUCCCACUCCCAAACUCACCACCCAACAGGCCUCACAGGGUUAUCUGGGAAAGAUUUAAAAACACUAAGAAAACCAUUACAAAUCUGUGUUGCUCUUUUAAUAUAUACAUUUUUCGGUUCUUAUAGAAUAGAAAAUAUUAGUGUUUAACAAGGACACUUGGUUUAGUGAUUUAUUAUUUCCAAUACAUAUACCCAACUAUUAUUAAAGAUUCUACACUGUAUUUCAAAAAUUCUAAGUCACUAGAGAUGAGAUUAUUACUGGGCUUAAAGCAGUUUGGGAACAGAGAUACAGAGACAUAGUUCAUGACACUGGAGAACAAAUAAAAGGCCAGAUAGCUUGCCAGCUUCAUCUGAGGAUGAAAGAACUAAGGUCCUUUGAGAAAAUUAUGGUCAAAAAUCAUUUCUAUAUUCUUAAUGUAAAAACAGUACAUUGAAAGUUAAAAUAAUCAGGCAGGAUUUUCAUUUGAAAAAGAAAGAAACUCAAAUUCUUUGAGUUUUUCCACCUUUAAACUCAGACACACAGUAAAUUACAGAUGUGGGGCACUAAGUAACAUUCCCUGCAUGGUGAACAUUUCUAUAGUCUUAUGGAAUCUAUUUUCAGUAUCCAUUUGGUACUAAUGUCCCCAAGUUUCAAAGAAUAAAAUAGUCGAUGAAAUGCAAAGCUUGCAUCUAGGAUACUAGAAAAAUGCUAGCUAUUAUAUGAUGGCUGUCAAAUUUUAAAGCCUGGUUCUGCUUGAAGAAUUACUUCAAUAGCAGUGAAAAGAGACAUGCUUUUCCACCCAUGAUGUAAUUUGCUGGGUUAUACCUGCACAAUAUUCUAUAAAGAAUCUUUGGAAAAUGGAAAAAAAGACCAAAGUUUUGUGCAACCUAUGGUUUUUUUACUUUUUAUAACCAGCAGACAAAGCACGUGAAAAAUAUCAAUUACUUGUCUUUAAUUCUGUCUACUUUCCACUUCUAGAUGCUUUAAAUAGAAUAGAAAAAGCAAAGCAA